rnacentral:rRNA from 1 species
AGAGUUUGAUUCUGGCUCAGGAUGAACGCUAGCGAUAGGCCUAACACAUGCAAGUCGAGGGGCAGCACAUGAGUAGCAAUACGAUGGUGGCGACCGGCGCACGGGUGAGUAACACGUAUGCAACCUACCUUUAACAGGGGAAUAACCCGUUGAAAAACGGACUAAUACUCCAUAACACAGGGGUCCCGCAUGGGAAUAUUUGUUAAAGAUUUAUCGGUUGAAGAUGGGCAUGCGUUCCAUUAGCUUGUUGGUGAGGUAACGGCUCACCAAGGCUACGAUGGAUAGGGGAACUGAGAGGUUUAUCCCCCACACUGGAACUGAGACACGGUCCAGACUCCUACGGGAGGCAGCAGUGAGGAAUAUUGGUCAAUGGAGGCAACUCUGAACCAGCCAAGUCGCGUGAAGGAUGAAGGUCUUAUGGAUUGUAAACUUCUUUUGCAAGGGAAUAAAGUGGGGGACGUGUCCUCCUUUGCAUGUACCUUGCGAAUAAGGAUCGGCUAACUCCGUGCCAGCCGCGGC